GGACCGCUAAGGGCUUCCCUGGUUCUAAUAUCGGGUCUCAUUUCCCUUCGGCAAGAAGACACCUCCCUGCUCCCCGGGGGCGGGGCGGGACUGUAAACGCCUUGAAGGCAGUUUCUACCUCAAUGCGGUAGCCGCCAGAAAGGAAUGAAUGGAAAAAAGGGAGAGAGGAAAAGAGGAAGAGGGCGGUAAGAUGAGUAAAACUGGUUAAAGUCAGAAAUUAUCCCCCACUAGCUUGGGUGGAGGAGUGGGGGCAGAGGGGAUAUGGUCCUUGACCGCUGACUUGCACUGUAGCUGAGAUUUAUAAUGUGAGAAAUAGAGGCUUACGGAGCCUGCCCUGUUUUCUGUUCCACAUUUCCAUCCUUCUCCCAACUGGCUUCUACUUGUCAGGUCUGAGCACAAUGGUGGAAAGUUAAUGGACCUGGGGAAAUCGUGAAAUAAGGUGCCAUGUUGUGAGAUGCCCUAUGGCAAGGAAUUGAGGAAGCCAAGAAGACUCAAUCCAGUAUUCUGUGAAGAAUUGAGUCCUGCCAACAACCUUGUGUGUGAGCUUGGAAGUGGAUCUCCCUAUCACCAUCUCUGUUUCCGUCCUUCCCCUUCAACAGCAACAUAUUUAUUUUUCUACGGUAUCAUCUGACCUGAUGUUCCCAGUAAGAGAAUGAACUCUGGAGCCAGACUGCCUGGGAUCAAAUCCAGCUCUGCUAUGAACCAUCUGUGAG